rnacentral:rRNA from 1 species
ACGGGAGGCAGCAGUGGGGAAUAUUGCACAAUGGGCGCAAGCCUGAUGCAGCGACGCCGCGUGAGGGAUGACGGCCUUCGGGUUGUAAACCUCUUUCACCAGGGACGAAGCGUGAGUGACGGUACCUGGAGAAGAAGCACCGGCCAACUACGUGCCAGCAGCCGCGGUAAUACGUAGGGUGCGAGCGUUGUCCGGAAUUACUGGGCGUAAAGAGCUCGUAGGCGGUUUGUCGCGUCGUCUGUGAAAUUCUGCAACUCAAUUGUAGGCGUGCAGGCGAUACGGGCAGACUUGAGUACUACAGGGGAGACUGGAAUUCCUGGUGUAGCGGUGAAAUGCGCAGAUAUCAGGAGGAACACCGGUGGCGAAGGCGGGUCUCUGGGUAGUAACUGACGCUGAGGAGCGAAAGCGUGGGGAGCGAACAGGAUUAGAUACCCUGGUA